rnacentral:lncRNA from 1 species
AAAUUAGUUUAUAAAUUUUUUUGGCAAUUUCAUCUUAGUAACCCGUUUUGUCCUAUUGCCAUUGUCCCAACCAUUGAAAAAGUUUACAAUAAUUUACAUAGAAAUAUUUUCAAAGUGCUUAAGAAUAGUGAUUGUUCUCUGGGAUAUUUACAGAUGGCCUAUACAAUGUAUGUACAGGUGGUAUACACUAUAGCACAAGUUUCACUGCUGGAAUAUGGCUUUCUAGGGAAAGUGCAUAUUUGGCCAGAGGUGGCAAUACUGUCUAGAAAUUCAAGGGUUACAGAUACUCGGUAACCACAUCCAAAGCUGAAGUAGAAUGUGGACAAGAAUAUUUACAAAAGUAAUAUAAAAACGGUCAAGUACACAAGCUUGAUCCACGCAAAGGUAUCUUGAUGUUCUUCCAGCCGAGAGGAAGAAAAAGAGACUUCAGCUGCUGGCUCGGUUACCAUUCCGACGGGGGUAUUAUUUGUUUAGACCUCAAAGGUCAACAUUUGUCACAGAAGUCAAGCUAGAUCAUCAUCUGUGCUUACAACUGAUAUCUGUGGAAAAGAAGAAGUAUAGAAUGAGCUUGGUGAUCACUCACUGAUGGCAACUCUAGUCUUUAAAAUGGACCUUGCUUUUGAGUUGGUCAUUCAAACACUCAGAGUGCUUAGAAGAAAAGUCAGUCAGAUACAAAAGAAUACUGAGUUGUAUCAUUCAUGCAUUUAACUUGAAUUCAACUAUACCUGCUUGGUAGUGAGAUAAGAUAGUGUGACUAAUUCUGUCUUUUCUACUUAAUGAUCAUAAGUCUUGGGGAAAAAUGUGAAAAGCCAUGUGUGUGUCAAGAAUUGACCACUGUUCCAUGUUUCACCGGAGUUUGAGAGGGGAGUGAUCAAUACUUGUUUUGUUCAGCCUGUUUCCUACGUGAAGGCCAAAUACUCCACUUGGGUUUCAUCUGAAGAACAAGUCUCCUUUCUGAAAAGUCUCACUUCAAGCCAUGGUGUAUAAAGACACAAAGCUGACUUACUGCUGGGUACGUGUGUCCAACAGAAGCACUGUGUCUACCAAUGUCUAUGGAGAGGUCCUCUUCAGUGGUUUUCAAGUACACAGGAUUGUCAAAG